CUUAUCUUAUUAUAAACAAUAAGAAUUAUAAAACAGAAAAUAGAUCAUAAGUAUAAUCUACACUAGUAACGUAGAUGAUAUAGAAAGUAUUAUUUUUGUCAUUUAUUCUUUUUAUUCAUGAACAUAUCAUGAAUAAAUCGUAUAAUGAUGAAUAAAUGACAUACAAGUAUACAAAGAGAUUGUUAUGGAAUCAUAGCUAUAUAUCAAGGAGAGCUAGCGAGUGUGGCUUAAACGUGUAAUAUAAACGAUACAUGCAGUGAGACCAUGUUCAACUCUAAUAAGAAAUUAUGUGUAAUUUUUUAUCUUUAAAAUUGUACAGGCAAAGGAGCCAGAUUAAACAAUAAAGAAGAUAAAAAAUAAAAAUAAACGAAGCGAAGUGAAAUAUCUUACUAACUUCAGGAAAACAAAUCAAAAGAGAUUCUUUAAGUAAUGUGAAUGAAAUAAGAAAAGUCUUAAACAAGUAAAUUGGAGUACAUAUCUGUUUGAAUAAAAGGGGAACCUUCCUCUAAGACUAAAUAUGAUAUAUAUGUGAUAGCGAAAAGUACCGUGAGGGAAAUGAUUGAAAUAGCAAUUUUAGAAGCAGCUCAAAAAAAGUUUAAAUAAACGAGUAGAGCGUACCUUUUGCAUAAUGGGUCAGCAAGUUAAUGUUUGAUGCGAGCAGUAUAAAAGUUUAGAAUUAAGAGUUGCUUUACAUAUUGCGUAGAUAAAACAAUUAUGAUAUAAUGAUGCAGUAUCAAAUAUUAGACCCGAAGCUUAGUGAUUUUACUACAAUCAGGAAUAUAAAAGUCCGAACGGGUUAUCGUUGUAAAGAUAUCCGAAGAAUUGUGGUAAGUUAGUGAAAGACAAAACUGACUAAGAUAGCUGGUUUUCUGCGAAACCUAUUUAAGUAGGUAAUUUAAAUAGAAUAUCAGAAGGUACAGAAUUGUGAUCUCAUGCAACUAGUACUCAUUCUCCUGUUAAUUCAGGAAAAGGAAUCAAAUGCUUUUUGCGGACAUUGGGGGGUCGUGAAGACUCUAUCAGUGAGUAUUUGUUCUCGGAAGGACUAGAUAUGAAUAUUGAAUUGUCAGACAUAGUGCGAUAAGGUUGUAUGUCUAAAGGGAAACAGCCCAGAACAAGAGUUAAUAAGGUUCCAAAAUUAUUGUUAAGUGAAAUUAAGGGAGUAUUUAUUCCAAACAACCAGGCAAUAGGCUUAGAGGCGGCCAUUUUCUGAAGAUCUCGUAACAGAGCACUGGUUUAAAGCAUAAUGUUAAUAAGGAUAAAAGCACCGAUCAUUUAACGGAUCUAAAUAAUAUACCGAGACCUUGUCCAAAUAUAUUAAUGUAUUUAUACAUUACAUUGUAUAUGUGGGGUAGCAGAACAUUGGGGAAGUUUAUUAUUAUGUCUUUAGAAGGCAUAAUAAAAUUUAUAAGGGGUAUUUUUUAUUAAUUUACCUAAAUUUUAACAAGCCAAGCGAAAAUGCUGACAUGAGUAACGAUAAAGGGGAAGACCCUCGCCUAAAGCUUAUGGAAUUUAAUUAAAGUUACGGCCUCUAAGUUUAUUAUAUAUUUAAUUAAAAAAAAAAUACUUUAUUUAUUCCCAAAAGGGGUAAACGAUGAGCAAAUCUAAGAUUUAUAGAAAAUACCAUUUUUUCUUUUUAUUUUCUUCAUCAGAAAUAAAUGUAGUGACAAAUGUUCUGGAAAACUAUAUAUCUCGUUUGCUAAACAGUAAUAAACUAAAUGAGAUGACAUGUUUAGCAAAUGCUUUACCGUACCUAAAUACUAACACAAGUAAGCAAGUAGAGUAUACGAAGGCGUUCGAGUUAACAAUCAUUAAGGAACUCGGCAAAUUGACUCGCGUAACUUCGGGAGAAGGUGGGCCGUCCCUUUUGAUUAAUAUCAGAUAUGGGAUAGGAGGCACAGAAUGGUGUUGUACGACUGUUUAAUUAAAACAAAGCACGCUGCAAAGAAAUAAAUUCGAAGUAUUGAGUGUGAUGUCUGCCCGAUGGUGGCUGGUUAUCGGAUUUGCUUGGUUGACUAAAAUAAGCCAGGCUUUGAAGGAACCCCCUUUCAAUGGCGGCCUUACAGAUGAGGGUCCUAAGGUAGCGUAAUACCUCGGCCGUUAACUGCGGUCUUGCAUGAAUGGUGUAACGAUACAACAGCUGUCUCUCAGUUACAUAUCUAUUUUAAGUUGGAACUUUUUUUUUUUUAAUUUGAAGUAAGAUUUUCACUAUUAUAAAGUAUAGAUGUAAUUAAAUUGUUCUUUAUUUGUUGUUAGACAAAACCCGAUAAAUCAUACACAACUACAUUAAAGAACCAUUUUUGUUAUUUAUCAGAGACUUUUCUAGAAAUAUUAUUUUAAAGAUAUCUGCUUAAAUGAUAAUUAUUUUACUUAUCAAGUUUAACGGCUUAAUCUUGCUUUACUGUUUGACUUACAUGUCUUUCAGUCGCGUAAGCGGGGCAUAUUAUCACAAGAUGCAGAAAGGAAAGGUCUUGGAUUAUUGAAAAAGCUACGCUAGGGAUAACAGGCUAAUUAGCGCAAGAGAGUUCAAAUUGGGUGCGGAGUUUGGCACCUCGAUGUCGGCUUAACUCAUCCACAUGAAUGCAGGAGCCAUGAAGGGUUCGCCUGUCCGUCGAUUAAAGAGUUACACGAGCUGGGUUAAAUACGCCGUGAGGCAGUAUGGUUUCUAUCUUCUAGAGGAGAUUAGAAUAGAAUAAGGAUAGCCCCUUGUACGAAAGGAGUUGGGUAUAUUAACCUAUAGUUUACCUGUUGUUUAGUCUUAUUAUAUUAAU
rnacentral:rRNA from 1 species